AGGGUUUGAUCCUGGCUCAGAACGAACGCUGGCGGCAUGCCUAACACAUGCAAGUCGAACGAACCCUUCGGGGUUAGUGGCGCACGGGUGCGUAACGCGUGGGAACCUGCCUUUUGGUUCGGAAUAACAGUGAGAAAUUGCUGCUAAUACCGGAUAAUGUCUUCGGACCAAAGAUUUAUCGCCAUUAGAUGGGCCCGCGUAGGAUUAGCUAGUUGGUGGGGUAAAGGCCUACCAAGGCGACGAUCCUUAGCUGGUCUUAGAGGAUGAUCAGCCUCACUGGGACUGAGACACGGCCCAGACUCCUACGGGAGGCAGCAGUGGGGAAUAUUGGACAAUGGGCGAAAGCCUGAUCCAGCAAUGCCGCGUGAGUGAUGAAGGCCUUAGGGUUGUAAAGCUCUUUUACCCGGGAUGAUAAUGACAGUACCGGGAGAAUAAGCCCCGGCUAACUCCGUGCCAGCAGCCGCGGUAAUACGGAGGGGGCUAGCGUUGUUCGGAAAUACUGGGCGUAAAGCGUGCGUAGGCGGCUUGGCAAGUCAGGGGUGAAAUCCCAGAGCUCAACUCUGGAACUGCCCUUGAAACUGCC
rnacentral:rRNA from 1 species